rnacentral:rRNA from 1 species
ACGGGGGGGGCAAGCGUUGUUCGGAAUUACUGGGCGUAAAGGGCUCGUAGGUUGCCAACUAAGUCAGACGUGAAAUCCCUCGGCUUAACCGGGGAACUGCGUCUGAUACUGGAUGGCUUGAGUUUGGGAGAGGGAUGCGGAAUUCCAGGUGUAGCGGUGAAAUGCGUAGAUAUCCGGAGGAACACCGGUGGCGAAGGCGGCUUCCUGGACCGACACUGACGCUGAGGCGCGAAAGCUAGGGGAGCAAACGGG